rnacentral:rRNA from 1 species
AUUGAACGCUGGCGGCAGGCUUAACACAUGCAAGUCGAGCGGAGAUGAGGUGCUUGCACCUUAUCUUAGCGGCGGACGGGUGAGUAAUGCUUAGGAAUCUGCCUAUUAGUGGGGGACAACAUUCCGAAAGGAAUGCUAAUACCGCAUACGCCCUACGGGGAAAGCAGGGGAUCUUCGGACCUGGCGCUAAUAGAUGAGCCUAAGUCGGAUUAGCCAGUUGGUGGGGUAAAGGCCUACCAAGGCGACGAUCUGUAGCGGGUCUGAGAGGAUGAUCCGCCACACUGGGACUGAGACACGGCCCAGACUCCUACGGGAGGCAGCAGUGGGGAAUAUUGGACAAUGGGCGGAAGCCUGAUCCAGCCAUGCCGCGUGUGUGAAGAAGGCCUUUUGGUUGUAAAGCACUUUAAGCGAGGAGGAGGCUACCUGGAUUAAUACUCUAGGAUAGUGGACGUUACUCGCAGAAUAAGCACCGGCUAACUCUGUGCCAGCAGCCGCAGUAACAC